UGGGGAAUAUUGCACAAUGGGCGAAAGCCUGAUGCAGCGACGCCGCGUGAGGGAUGACGGCCUUCGGGUUGUAAACCUCUUUCAGCAGGGACGAAGCGCAAGUGACGGUACCUGCAGAAGAAGCACCGGCUAACUACGUGCCAGCAGCCGCGGUAAUACGUAGGGUGCAAGCGUUGUCCGGAAUUACUGGGCGUAAAGAGUUCGUAGGCGGUUUGUCGCGUCGUUUGUGAAAACCAGCAGCUCAACUGCUGGCUUGCAGGCGAUACUGGCAGACUUGAGUACUGCAGGGGCGACUGGAAUUCCUGGUGUAGCGGUGAAAUGCGCAGAUAUCAGGAGGAACCCCGGUGGCGAAGGCGGGUCUCUGGGCAGUAACUGACGCUGAGGAACGAAAGCGUGGGUAGCGAACAGG
rnacentral:rRNA from 1 species